rnacentral:rRNA from 1 species
AUGGUGGAGCAUGGAGGUUUUGUCAUCCAGGAGUACGGGCAGACGGUUGUCUGUGCAAGUGACAGCUGGAAGAUGGUGCAUCCCAUGCUGGGUUUGUGGUUGGUGGCUGAUAGUUCUGGUUUCCUCCUUCGACGUCGUUGUCGUGCGGGGGUGUCAGAUCUAGAGUUCGAUGGUGUGUCCAUGGACAUGUUGCCCCAGUCUGAUUCUUUCAACGAUAAUGCUUUUACUUCUGGCAAACUACUUUCGAGGUCCAUAAAGCUGUUGAUCAGCGAUGGAGUCGCGUCGAGCUCAAGUGAAGAGGUGAUCUGUUUUCUUUACCUUUGGUGGCCGCUUCGUGAUGUCGGAGGAGAGGAACAUGCGCUGGUAUUUUGCAUAGGAUUAUCCUACCUUUUCAAUCUUGUAAUGUCGGUGCUUACGUGUCUUGUAACCGGAUCUUUAUUUUAUAAAUGA